rnacentral:rRNA from 1 species
UACGAAGGGGGCUAGCGUUGCUCGGAUUUACUGGGCGUAAAGGGCGCGUAGGCGGACAUUUAAGUCAGGGGUGAAAUCCCGGAGCUCAACUCUGGAACUGCCUUUGAUACUGGGGAUCUUGAGUAUGGGAGAGGUGAGUGGAAUUCCGAGUGUAGCGGUGAAAUUCGUAGAUAUUCGGAGGAACACCAGUGGCGAAGGCGGCUCACUGGCUCGAUACUGACGCUGAGGUGCGAAAGCGUGGGGAGCAAACAGG